rnacentral:lncRNA from 10 species
GAAGACUGACUUCCUCCUGCUGCCAAAGGUUUGCAGUGCUUAUUUAAGAAAUUAUACCUGCUUUGUCUACUAGAGGCAGUCAGCUGAAUCAUCGAGUUCUUGCAGAAGCCUUGAGCUUUAGCACCUAAGGGCCCUGAGACAGUUGUAUUCAACAACCUUGUUGCAUGAAAGAAGGGGAGUUCUGAGGGACAUGGACAUUGCAGACUUUUUCACCAACCAGGAAAACUUUUCAGGCAUCACCCAAGAGGUCCAGCUGAAGAUGUAACAGUUCUAGAGUCUGGACGUCUGAGAUCAGGGUGCCAGCACUGUCGAGGUCACAGACUGCAGACCUCCUUGUAUCUUCAAAUGGAGGAAAGAGGACAAGAGAGCUCCUGUGGUCCCUUUUAUCAAGAUGAAUGCACAAGGAAAAUGUUGUACAUUUGCACAUUGGAGUACACUUCAGCCAUAAAAAGAAUGAGAUGCUGUCAUUUGCAACAACAGAGUUGUGCAGUCAUCAGUUAUCUUCAUGGGACGAGUAUGUCCGGAGGGGAGGAAAAUCUGAUAAAAAAUAUUGAAAUUCAAUGAAGGCUUCCACUGCUUAACAAAUGUUACAUAGAAUUCUUCACCGAUGUGAGGAACAUCAGUUUGCAAAAGAAACUCUGCACUUUCAGGGAUAAAAAGACUGAGACUCCAAAUGGUGCUCCUAGUAUUGGUGAAGCUUAGGGAGAGAGCCCAUUGUGUUUCUAUCUAACUGCUCUCAGGAAAAGGUAGAAAAUGUCUCAGAUUCCACAAGAAAGAUAGAAUGUGUGAUAAGAUGACAAUCAGG